AUUGAACGCUGGCGGCAGGCCUAACACAUGCAAGUCGAGCGAGCGGCGGACGGGUGAGUAAUGUCUGUGAGAAUGCCUGAUGGAGGGGGAUAACUACUGGAAACGGUAGCUAAUACCGCAUACCAUCAGAUGUGCCCACAGGGGAUUAGCUAGUAGGUGGGGUAACGGCUCACCUAGGCGACGAUCCCUAGCUGGUCUGAGAGGAUGACCAGCCACACUGGAACUGAGACACGGUCCAGACGCCUACGGGAGGCAGCAGUGGGGAAUAUUGCACAAUGGGCGCAAGCCUGAUGCAGCCAUGCCGCGUGUGUGAAGAAGGCCUUCGGGUUGUAAAGCACUUUCAGCGGGGAGGCGUUACCCGCAGAAGAAGCACCGGCUAACUCCGUGCCAGCAGCCGCGGUAAUUC
rnacentral:rRNA from 1 species